rnacentral:tRNA from 1 species
UGGGUUGUGGCUCAGUGGUAGAGUGCUUGCCUAGCAUGCGUGAGGCACUGGGUUUGAUUCUCAGCACCACAU